GAUUUCUGGUACGAUGCGCCCGUCCCACGGUUGCAAAACCGCGAGCGAUGGUGUGUGUCUGCCAUCUUUGCAGUUAACCGGACGCACUUAACUGGGCGGUCGGCAAUCUGCAUCAGUUACUUUGAAAAAAUUAGGGUGUUUAAAGCAGGCUUGCGCUAUGAAUACAUUAGCAUGGAAUAAUAAUUUAGGACUACUUUCCUAUUUUGUUGGUUCUUAGGAAGGAAGUAAUGAUUGAUAGGGAUAGUUGGGGGUGCUAGUAUUCAUCGGCCAGAGGUGAAAUUCUUGGAUUCGAUGAAGACUAACUAAUGCGAAAGCAUU
rnacentral:rRNA from 1 species